UCAUCUCCAUCAAUGCAUCUUAUAAGUUUUUUUAUAAGUUUGCUAAUAAUAAAACAUAAUAAAAAUAAUGAAAAUAACUUAAUUUUACUAAGCAUCGAUCGUUAUAUAAGAUUUUUUAGAUUCAUUUAGAAACCGUGUGUGUCAACUUUUGAUUAGCUGAAAGAAAAAAAGUUUCUUUUUUUUGUUUUAUUCUCUCUUUCGUCUCUCUCUCUCGUCCUCUCUCUUUCGUCUCUCCAUUGAUCGAUGGCAAAAGUUUUGGAGAAGAAGCGAAGAAUUGAGAGGUGAAAUAAUCGAAAAAGCUGGGUUGGUUCAGGCUCAAUGUCAAGAACUAUUGCUACUACUAGUGAGCGUUCGUUUAGCAAUUAUGCAGCUCAAGUUGAUUAGACCAAAGACAAUCUUGUUUGUGACAUAUUGAUUGAUUAUUUUGGUUCUCACUUGUUGUCAAAGUCUGAGAUUGUUAGGUUGUCAAUACUUGAUGCUUGAAAGUGUGUUAAUGUAAUCCUAGUAUUUGUAUCUCAUUUGCCAUCUCCUGUUGCUGAUUUUCUACAUGAUGUGAAUAGGCUCAAUUCUCCCA